CGCUUUGCAGCACAGCCCAUCCAAUUUGGGUCAUGGCACAUCUGACGUGGCAAUUUCCAGUGUGGAUAGAAAUGGUCCAUCUUGAAUUAGCUACAAGGAAAAUUUGGUGGUCAAACUCAAAAUAUGGCCAACUUGUAAUGGAUUGUUCCCCCGUAUUUUCAACAGUUCCUAUAUUUUUGGCUUACUUCGACUUUUUAACCAAUCAUUGACCUUAGUUUUCUCCAUGUAUAAUUUGGAUUGGAUUGAACUUUUGUAGGUAGAUAGGGAACUGUGGGGUCUAGACCUGUAAACCA